AGUGAACGCUGGCGGUAGGCCUAACACAUGCAAGUCGAACGGCAGCACAGUAAGAGCUUGCUCUUACGGGUGGCGAGUGGCGGACGGGUGAGGAAUACAUCGGAAUCUACUUUUUCGUGGGGGAUAACGUAGGGAAACUUACGCUAAUACAGCAUACGACCUACGGGUGAAAGCAGGGGAUCUUCGGACCUUGCGCGAUUGAAUGAGCCGAUGUCGGUUUAGCUAGUUGGCGGGGUAAAGGCCCACCAAGGCGACGAUCCGUAGCUGGUCUGAGAGGAUGAUCAGCCACACUGGAACUGAGGCACGGUCCAGACUCCUGCGGGAGGCAGCAGUCGGGAAUAUUGGACAAUGGGGGCAAGCCUGAUCCAGCCAUACCGCGUGGGUGAAGAAGGCCUUCGGGUUGUAGAGCCCUUUUGUUGGGAAAGAAAAGCAGCAGGUUAAUACCCCGCUGUUCUGACGGUACCCAAAGAAUAAGCACCGGCUAACUUCGUG
rnacentral:rRNA from 1 species